UGAACGCUGGCGGCGUGCCUACUACAUGCACGUCGAGCGAACAGACGCGGAGCUUGCUCCUCUGACGUUAGCGGCGGACGGGUGAGUAACACGUGGAUAACCUACCUAUAAGACUGGGAUAACUUCGGGAAACCGGAGCUAAUACCGGAUAAUAUAUUGAACCGCAUGGUUCAAUAGUGAAAGACGGUUUUGCUGUCACUUAUAGAUGGAUCCGCGCCGCAUUAGCUAGUUGGUAAGGUAACGGCUUACCAAGGCAACGAUGCGUAGCCGACCUGAGAGGGUGAUCGGCCACACUGGAACUGAGACACGGUCCAGACUCCUACGGGAGGCAGCAGUAGGGAAUCUUCCGCAAUGGGCGAAAGCCUGACGGAGCAACGCCGCGUGAGUGAUGAAGGUCUUCGGAUCGUAAAACUCUGUUAUUAGGGAAGAACAAAUGUGUAAGUAACUAUGCACGUCUUGACGGUACCUAAUCAGAAAGCCACGGCUAACUACGUG
rnacentral:rRNA from 1 species